UACGUAGGCAGCGAGCGUUUGUUCGGAGUUACUGGGCGUAAAGGGUGUGUAGGCGGUUCUUUUUAAGUUUAGUGUGAAAUCUCCCGGCUCAACCGGGGAGGGUGCGCUGAAUACUGAGGGACUAGAGUACGGGGAGAGGAAAGUGGAAUUCCUGGUGUAGCGGUGAAAUGCGUAGAUAUCAGGAGGAACACCGGUGGUGUAGACGGCUCUCUGGAACGGUACUGACGCUGAGACGCGAAAGCGUGGGGAGCGAACAGG
rnacentral:rRNA from 1 species